CCUACAAAAGGCGGGGCUGUUGGACCGCAGGAAGCCGCGCGAUGAACUGGUGGUCUCACCAACCAUCUCGCGUGUGCCCUGGAGGCUGGCAAGUAGGGCGCAUUCUCACGGGGUUCCAGAGGUGGCGUGGGGAUGGCAAGUCAAGGUCCAGCGAUUGGUUUUAGAGUUUUAGGACGAUGGAAGUCUUCGCGAAGACUGUCCACUGGACUCAGAGUGAAUUUAACGUCGUUGUCGUAAGAGCACGCAUGGGAGAUUUUUAAAAACCAGAUCCAAGAAAGUACAUUUUUUUAGUGAACAUUAUUAGGAAGUCUAUUUAAUUUUUUUUUUAAUUAAGCCUUAUUUCUCCAUCAUGUAUUUAGAAGUAGAGAUUGAACACUUCAAAAAUACUUAUCUCUGGAUGGCGAGGUUAUGAUUUGUCUCCCAGCAUUUUUGCACUGUAAACAAUAAAAAAUAAAGAGGCUAGAACUGAUUUAAUUCAGUAGAUAUCUCAGACUUGGCAUAGCCCAACUGAAAGCCUGAUUUCCUUUCAAUUAUGUUUCUCUUCCAUGUCGAUGUCAUUUCUGGAAAUGACAACUCCUGUCUUUCCAGUUGCUCAGGAAGAAAGCAUACUGUUAUUCUUGAAUAUUCUCAAAAGAAUGAUAUGUUAUCAGUUUGCCCCUUGUACUGGGCUUGCAGGUGCCUGUGGAGGAUAAGCUGGGCACCCAGGUCAGCUGCUGCCAGUGCCUGGGUUCAGUCUACUCAGCAAAAUGUGUGGGGCACACUAAUAUCAUAUAUUGCUUGUUUGGGAUUUGUGAACCUUUGAAAGAUUAUAGGAAAAGUUUGCAGCAUGAGCCAAGACAGUCUAGUUGUGUGGGAAACCUUGGUUGGGCCCACAGUUGAGUGGGCUGUGGGGAGUGAGGGAAUGGGGUGUUCUCAGGAAGCCCGCUGUUAGCCAGGUUGCUGGCGAACUCAUGGUCGCACCCUGCAUCUACAGAUAGGAAACGGAAGGCACUACAAAGAAACAACAGUCUCCACCAACACUUCUGUGUUGGAGAAAGCUACUCCUCCCUCACCCUAAAGCCAGCAGUUCAACCGUGAGUGUGCAUGCAGGCCUCUUAUGAGGAAUGCGUAAGACUGUAAUGGCCCUACAUCUUAUUCAGCCAUGUUUUUGGCUAAUUUUCACUGUGCUCUUCAAGAAUUCUUUCAUCUGGGCAUCUCACCACCAAAACCUUCCCUUAUUGAUCAACUCGGCGCUGAUAUGUGUAGCUAGCAGGAUGAAGUGGCUACAGCCUCCUGGGCUCUGGACGGUUCUCGGGUGGAGGAUACCCAGGUGGAGGACAUGUGGCCCCCCAGCCUCCAAGUUGUAUCCUGUGGCUGUGUAUCUGGCUACAUGGAUGCCCGGAUAAUUGGGAUGGAGUGAAGCUGUUUAUAUUAGUGGGUUGGAUGGCCUGGAUGUUCCUUGUGAAGCUGCAGCAGGCCAGCCUGAAGGUUCAGGACCAGGCCCAGUGGGGCAGCAAUUGCAACAUCAAGAAGAAGCACUGGAAAGGUGGCUGGCCGCAACGGAACACAUGCUGCGGGACCUUGAUGGUUUGCUGCCAUUGUCCUGGUCUGGAAGCCCACCAGGCACAUUGCAGCAGGUGUGGCACAUGGUACGGCACCAGGUUGAAGUGGAAGAGCCUUUGGCCCUUGUGGGUGGACGGGGAGAAGCUGGUGGCACACCCCCAGGCUAAAAAGCAUACCACCUUGAUCCAGUACACCCCCUCUGAACUCUGGGACCUGAUGAUGGCAGAGAGGUGUGAAGAUGGUUCCGGAGUGGCUGCUGCCGCUGUGGGGUGACAGGGCAGAAGGGACUGACUUAUCACCAGCAGAGAUGGCUCAGCUGGCCUCUAUAAUAGUGAUACUGUCCCUCUGGCAGCACCUUCACAAUGUGGCAUAUAUGGUGCGGGGUGCAGGCAACCACUCUGAUUAACUGGCUCAUGCAUGUCGCACAGACAGUGUGGGACAACCCAGGGAAGCUGCAAGAGGCAGUGAGCAGAUAGACCAAGUACCUAGAUUUGGUCCAGAUAACUUGGGAAAUGGGCAUGAGACAGAUGAUGUUUCGCACCCACUAUACAAGCCCAGAUGAAGAAGCAUAUACUAGCCAUGAUAAAAGGGACUUGAUUUCGACCUCUGGCCUGACUGGUACUUUUGACACCAUGGCAGCACUGCUGGCCCCUUACGUGGAUAGGAGGAUCCACGAGGUGACAUUCACCAUAGCUAGGUUGGGGAAAGUGGAAGUGAAAAGCAAGGAGUGUCCCACCCAAGUGCAUGCUAUACCACCCUUUGCACUCCCAAACCAGCUAGUGCACAGUCAGAGGUGUGGCUAAAAAGGGGGGACGGAGCAGCCCUCAGCCCAUUGGACUGUGGAACUGAGCCACUAGCAGAUGUUUGAUCUCGCAGCAGGGGUUGCUUCAGAAAAGACUAAGCAGAAACCUAAUGAAGUGCUGCUGGCGCUGUGGAAUUAGCUGUGCCCUGACCAACAAUUCACUCUUAUUCCUGGAAAAGCCACAACAAUCUCUGAGGUGUGGAUGGCCAAUUAUCUCCCUGAUUAGAGAUUAGGCCAGGACACCAUGUUGGUGAAGGAGCCAGUUGACCUGAGGCCACAUGUGAAACUGACUAAGCAUUGGUCCUUCUCGCAAUGUGCAGAGGAUAUUAGCCCUCGUGGACACAGGUGCCGCACCCUGCUUUAUGGGAAUCUGGACAAGUUUCCCAGACCCGUUGGUGUUUCCCGAAGCUAACCGGAGAGUGAACACAAACCAGUAUCACCUGCUGGGUGGCCAUGAGGAAAAAGGAAGCACCAUUCUGAAGCUAGAGAAAGCCAGUGUUAUUCAUCCUGCUCAUAGCAUGUACAACUCUCCCAUGUGGCCAGUGAAGAAGCCUAAUGGCUCCUGAGCAUGACGGUUGACUAUUGGGAGCGGAAUAAGAUUAUGCCACCCCUGCAUGCUGCCAUGUUGAACAUCACAGACAUUAUGGACUGGUUGUCACAUGAACUUGGAUGAUACCAUUAUGUGGUGGAAUUGGCAAAUGCCUUUUUCUCUAUUGCCAUAGCCCCAGAAAGUCAAGAACAGUUUCCCUGUCACCUGGGAAGGGUGACAGUGGACAUUCCUUGUCCUUCCCCAGGGCUAUCUGCAUAGCACUACCCUGUGUUAUGGUCUCUUGGCUCAAGACUUAGCCAUGUGGAAACAA